rnacentral:rRNA from 1 species
AGAGUCCUACGGGGCGCAGCAGUGAGGAAUAUUGGUCAAUGGGCGGAAGCCUGAACCAGCCAAGUCGCGUGAGGGAAUAAGGCCCUACGGGUCGUAAACCUCUUUUGCCGGGGAGCAAGGGCCGGGACGCGUCCCGGUCCGGAGAGUACCCGGCGAAAAAGCAUCGGCUAACUCCGUGCCAGCAGCCGCGGUAAUACGGAGGAUGCGAGCGUUAUCCGGAUUUAUUGGGUUUAAAGGGUGCGUAGGCGGGCUUUUAAGUCAGCGGUAAAAAUUCGGGGUUCAACCCCGUCCGGCCGUUGCAACUG